rnacentral:rRNA from 1 species
AAAUUGAAGAGUUUGAUCAUGGCUCAGAUUGAACGCUGGCGGCAGGCCUAACACAUGCAAGUCGAACGGUAGCACAGAGAGCUUGCUCUCGGGUGACGAGUGGCGGACGGGUGAGUAAUGUCUGGGAAACUGCCCGAUGGAGGGGGAUAACUACUGGAAACGGUAGCUAAUACCGCAUAACGUCGCAAGACCAAAGUGGGGGACCUUCGGGCCUCACACCAUCGGAUGUGCCCAGAUGGGAUUAGCUAGUAGGUGGGGUAACGGCUCAC